UGGGGAAUAUUGCGCAAUGGGGGAAACCCUGACGCAGCAACGCCGCGUGAGUGAUGAAGGUCUUCGGAUUGUAAAACUCUGUCUUUUGGGACGAUAAUGACGGUACCAAAGGAGGAAGCCACGGCUAACUACGUGCCAGCAGCCGCGGUAAUACGUAGGUGGCAAGCGUUGUCCGGAUUUACUGGGCGUAAAGAGUAUGUAGGCGGACAUUUAAGUCAGAUGUGAAAUUCCCGGGCUUAACCUGGGAGCUGCAUUUGAUACUGGGUGUCUAGAGUGCGGGAGAGGAAAGUGGAAUUCCUAGUGUAGCGGUGAAAUGCGUAGAGAUUAGGAAGAACACCAGUGGCGAAGGCGACUUUCUGGACCGUAACUGACGCUGAGAUACGAAAGCGUGGGGAGCAAACA
rnacentral:rRNA from 1 species